CCUACGGGCGGCAGCAGUAGGGAAUAUUCCGCAAUGGGCGCAAGCCUGACGGAGCAACGCCGCGUGAGCGAGGAAGGCCUUCGGGUCGUAAAGCUCUGUUGUCGGGGAAGAACGGCGCAAAGGGGAUUUGCGUGUGACGGUACCCGACGAGAAAGCCCCGGCUAACUACGUGCCAGCAGCCGCGGUAAUACGUAGGGGGCGAGCGUUGUCCGGAAUCAUUGGGCGUAAAGCGUGCGCAGGCGGCUUCUUAAGUUGGGAGUGAAAGGCCGCGGCUUAACCGCGGAUAGGCUUUCAAAACUGGGGAGCUUGAGUGCAGGAGAGGGAAGCGGAACUCCAUGUGUAGCGGUGAAAUGCGUAGAGAUAUGGAGGAACACCGGUGGCGAAGGCGGCUUCCUGGCCUGUAACUGACGCUCAGGCACGAAAGCGUGGGGAGCAAACAGGAUUAGAUACCCCUGUAGUC
rnacentral:rRNA from 1 species